rnacentral:rRNA from 1 species
UACGUAGGGUGCGAGCGUUAAUCGGAAUUACUGGGCGUAAAGCGUGCGCAGGCGGUUUUGUAAGCCAGAUGUGAAAGCCCCGGGCUCAACCUGGGAAUUGCAUUCGAGACUGCAUAGCUAGGAUGCGGAAGAGGGAAGCGGAAUUUCCGGUGUAGCGGUGAAAUGCGUAGAUAUCGGAAGGAACACCAGUGGCGAAAGCGGCUUCCUGGUCCAGCAUCGACGUUCAGGCACGAAAGCGUGGGGAGCAAACAGG